GACGGGGCCCGCACAAGCAGCGGAGCGUGUGGUUUAAUUCGAUGCUACACGAAGAACCUUACCAGGGUUUGACAUGCUAGUGGUAGAGAAGCGAAAGCCGAUCGACCUUCGGGAGCUAGCACAGGUGCUGCAUGGCUGUCGUCAGCUCGUGUCGUGAGAUGUUCGGUUAAGUCCGCUAACGAGCGCAACCCUCGCUGUGUGUUACAAGUGUCACACGGUACUGCCGGUCUUAAGCCGGAGGAAGGUGGGGAUGACGUCAAGUCAGCAUGGCCUUUAUGUCCUGGGCUACACACACGCUACAAUGGCCAACACAAUAGGUUGCUAAGCCGCGAGGUGGAGCCAAUCCUCAAAGUUGGUCUCAGUUCAGAUUGCAGGCUGCAACCCGCCUGCAUGAAGAUGGAGUUGCUAGUAACCGCAGGUCAGCUAUACUGCGGUGAAUACGUUCCCGGGGCUU
rnacentral:rRNA from 1 species